GCCUGGGUGGCUCAGUCAGUUGGGUGUCUGACUUCAGCUCAGGUCAUGAUCUCACAGUUCCUGGGUUCGAACCCCACAUCAGGCU
rnacentral:tRNA from 1 species